rnacentral:rRNA from 1 species
UACGGGGGGGGCAAGCGUUGUUCGGAAUUACUGGGCGUAAAGGGUUCGUAGGUGGCUUGCUAAGUCAGACGUGAAAUCCCUCAGCUUAACUGGGGAACUGCGUCUGAGACUGGUGAGCUUGAGUGCAGGAGAGGAACGCGGAAUUCCAGGUGUAGCGGUGAAAUGCGUAGAGAUCAGGAAGAACACCGGUGGCGAAGGCGCUCUGCUAGGCCGUAACUGACACUGAGGGACGAAAGCUAGGGGAGCGAAUGGG